rnacentral:rRNA from 1 species
GACGAACGCUGGCGGCGUGCCUAAUACAUGCAAGUAGAACGCUGAAGGAGGAGCUUGCUUCUCUGGAUGAGUUGCGAACGGGUGAGUAACGCGUAGGUAACCUGCCUGGUAGCGGGGGAUAACUAUUGGAAACGAUAGCUAAUACCGCAUAAGAGUAGAUGUUGCAUGACAUUUGCUUAAAAGGUGCAAUUGCAUCACUACCAGAUGGACCUGCGUUGUAUUAGCUAGUUGGUGGGGUAACGGCUCACCAAGGCGACGAUACAUAGCCGACCUGAGAGGGUGAUCGGCCACACUGGGACUGAGACACGGCCCAGACUCCUACGGGAGGCAGCAGUAGGGAAUCUUCGGCAAUGGACGGAAGUCUGACCGAGCAACGCCGCGUGAGUGAAGAAGGUUUUCGGAUCGGAAAGCUCUGUUGUAAGAGAAGAAAGAGUGUGAGAGUGGAAAGUUCACACUGUGACGGUAUCUUACCAGAAAGGGACGGCUAACUACGUG